UCAGGUGUAGUUAUUCACCAGCUAUAGAGUGAGUUGUUGUUUAUGUUUCUAAGACUGCAGGGUGGGAGAUGCAACAAUGGCCUUGAGAACAGCAGGAAGUGUGUUGGUGGUCUUUCUCUGGUCUGUAGCAGCUGUACUGGGGCAGAAUGGCUGGAGUGUGACUAACACCACAGUAUUUGUACCUUGAAGGGGUCAUCAGUGGAACUGUCCUGCUCUUACACAUAUCCCAGUUGGUAUAAAGUCACAACAACCUUCUGGUUCACCAAAAUUGUUGCUGUGGAGAAUUAUGUGAGUCUGAGUGAUGACCCAGACUACAAAGGUCGUGUGACGUACCAUAGAGAUAAGAAGAAUGGCCACACCCUGACAAUCACAGACCUGAGAGAGAGUGACUCCACUACGUACAAGUUCAGAUUUAUUACAGAUCAGACCGAAGGGAUCCUGGAGUCACUUUGUCUGUUACAGACCUGCAGGUGAAGGUGACCACUACAUGGUGGUCAACGA